GCUAUGUUAGUUCAAGUUUAGAAUAUGUAACUUGUAAUUACAAGGUAGUUUAAUUAGCA
rnacentral:tRNA from 1 species